GGUCAGCCUGCCCAGUGACAUAGUUCAACGGCCGCGGUAUCCUAACCGUGCGAAGGUAGCAUAAUCACUUGUUCUUUAAAUAAGGACUAGUAUCAACGGCACCACGAGGACUGUACUGUCUCCUUUCUCCAAUCAGUGAAACUGAUCUCCCCGUGAAGAAGCGGGGAUAAAUAUAUAAGACGAGAAGACCCCAUGGAGCUUAAAACCUCACACAUCUCUAUGUUAUUAAAUCACUUAAACAAGGGGGGGUUGUGGCUGGGUUUUAGGUUGGGGAGACCACGGAGUAAAAUUAAACCUCCAUGACAAACGGGCCAACGCCCUCACCCAUGAAUUACAAUUCUAAGUAUUAACAAACUAAUGUUGAUGAUCCGGUUAGCCGAUCAACGAACCAAGUUACCCUGGGGAUAACAGCGCCAUCUGCUUCAAGAGCCCCUAUCGACAAGCAGGUUUACGACCUCGAUGUUGGAUCAGGGUAUCCUAGUGGUGCAGCCGCUACUAAAGGUUCGUUUGUUCAACGAUUAAAACCCUACGUGAUCUGAU
rnacentral:rRNA from 1 species